GCCAGGAGUGGUGGCGCAUGCCUGUAAUCCCAGCAGCUCGGGAGGCUGAGGCAGGAGGAUCACAAAUUCAAGACCAACUCAGCAACUUAGCAAGACUCUGUUUCAA
rnacentral:sRNA from 1 species